GAGACUUAGGCUAAUUUAAACCAGGGGCCUUCAAAGCCCCAACCAAGAGUGAAAAUCUCUUAGUCUCUG
rnacentral:tRNA from 1 species